rnacentral:rRNA from 1 species
GCGUUCUAAGGGCGUUGAAGCAUGAUCGUAAGGACAUGUGGAGCGCUUAGAAGUGAGAAUGCCGGUGUGAGUAGUGAAAGACGGGUGAGAAUCCCGUCCACCGAUUGACUAAGGUUUCCAGAGGAAGGCUCGUCCGCUCUGGGUUAGUCGGGUCCUAAGCUGAGGCCGACAGGCGUAGGCGAUGGAUAACAGGUUGAUAUUCCUGUACCACCUAUAAUCGUUUUAAUCGAUGGGGGGACGCAGUAGGAUAGGCGAAGCGUGCGAUUGGAUUGCACGUCUAAGCAGUAAGGCUGAGUAUUAGGCAAAUCCGGUACUCGUUAAGGCUGAGCUGUGAUGGGGAGAAGACAUUGUGUCUUCGAGUCGUUGAUUUCACACUGCCGAGAAAAGCCUCUAGAUAGAAAAUAGGUGCCCGUACCGCAAACCGACACAGGUAGUCAAGAUGAGAAUUCUAAGGUGAGCGAGCGAACUCUCGUUAAGGAACUCGGCAAAAUGACCCCGUAACUUCGGGAGAAGGGGUGCUCUUUAGGGUUAACGCCCAGAAGAGCCGCAGUGAAUAGGCCCAAGCGACUGUUUAUCAAAAACACAGGUCUCUGCUAAACCGUAAGGUGAUGUAUAGGGGCUGACGCCUGCCCGGUGCUGGAAGGUUAAGAGGAGUGGUUAGCUUCUGCGAAGCUACGAAUCGAAGCCCCAGUAAACGGCGGCCGUAACUAUAACGGUCCUAAGGUAGCGAAAUUCCUUGUCGGGUAAGUUCCGACCCGCACGAAAGGCGUAACGAUUUGGGCACUGUCUCAACGAGAGACUCGGUGAAAUCAUAGUACCUGUGAAGAUGCAGGUUACCCGCGACAGGACGGAAAGACCCCGUGGAGCUUUACUGUAGCCUGAUAUUGAAAUUCGGCACAGCUUGUACAGGAUAGGUAGGAGCCUUUGAAACGUGAGCGCUAGCUUACGUGGAGGCGCUGGUGGGAUACUACCCUAGCUGUGUUGGCUUUCUAACCCGCACCACUUAUCGUGGUGGGAGACAGUGUCAGGCGGGCAGUUUGACUGGGGCGGUCGCCUCCUAAAAGGUAACGGAGGCGCUCAAAGGUUCCCUCAGAAUGGUUGGAAAUCAUUCAUAGAGUGUAAAGGCAUAAGGGAGCUUGACUGCGAGACCUACAAGUCGAGCAGGGUCGAAAGACGGACUUAGUGAUCCGGUGGUUCCGCAUGGAAGGGCCAUCGCUCAACGGAUAAAAGCUACCCCGGGGAUAACAGGCUUAUCUCCCCCAAGAGUUCACAUCGACGGGGAGGUUUGGCACCUCGAUGUCGGCUCAUCGCAUCCUGGGGCUGUAGUCGGUCCCAAGGGUUGGGCUGUUCGCCCAUUAAAGCGGUACGCGAGCUGGGUUCAGAACGUCGUGAGACAGUUCGGUCCCUAUCCGUCGUGGGCGUAGGAAAUUUGAGAGGAGCUGUCCUUAGUACGAGAGGACCGGGAUGGACAUACCUCUGGUGUACCAGUUGUCGUGCCAACGGCAUAGCUGGGUAGCUAUGUGUGGACGGGAUAAGUGCUGAAAGCAUCUAAGCAUGAAGCCCCCCUCAAGAUGAGAUUUCCCAACUUCGGUUAUAAGAUCCCUCAAAGAUGAUGAGGUUAAUAGGUUCGAGGUGGAAGCAUGGUGACAUGUGGAGCUGACGAAUACUAAUCGAUCGAAGACUUAAUCAA